GAUUUUAUCAGAUUUCAUUCUUCAAAUUUUCAUUCAUUUUUGGCCAAAAUUUCCCAAGAACUCUGCAUACCAAAUUUAGAAAGAGCAAAUAAACAAAUCUGAUCUAGAUCAGGUAGAAUGAUGGAAAUCAGUUGCCAAUCUGCUCGGGUUUCCGACUUUCAACAGAAUUCCUAUCCAGAAGGUAAACUGCAAUCAAUAAUCAUAUUCAAAUCUGGUCAGCGGUCGCGUUGAAAAAGGAAACAAACACCAGCGAGCUUUCCUCGACGAGAACAAUGAGCUAGCUGGUUGCCAACUAAGGAUCGUCUUACACCGCCUUCCGAGUUCUCAAUGGGAAAGUGAAAUGGACCCAUGGAACUCGGCCGCCCAAUUAGCCGUGGAAAUUGUUUGGCUGUUCGGGAAUCGAAAAUCCCAGCAUAUGUUCGAAAUUACCGAAGGAAAGUCGCGACUGAUUGAUUUGCGUUACUAAGUGGCGGGGAAAAUGUGAACCGUUUUCCUGCUUGUUCUGAUUUAUUUUAGUGUCUCGUGAUGUCUGU
ensembl:ncRNA lncRNA:CR43706 long non-coding RNA:CR43706